rnacentral:rRNA from 1 species
UACGGGGGGGGCAAGCGUUGUUCGGAAUUACUGGGCGUAAAGGGCUCGUAGGCGGCCAACUAAGUCAGACGUGAAAUCCCUCGGCUUAACCGGGGAACUGCAUCUGAUACUGGAUGGCUUGAGUUCGGGAGAGGGAUGUGGAAUUCCUGGUGUAGCGGUGAAAUGCGCAGAUAUCAGGAGGAACACCAAUUGCGAAGGCAGCUCGCUGGGACGUUACUGACGCUGAGACGCGAAAGCGUGGGGAGCAAACAGG